CUUUUCUGAGGUUUUUGCAUGCAGUUUGUUUCAUUCAAAUAUUAUAUUUCCAUUGUUCCUUGUGAUGUUCUCGUGUGCGUUUUUCCUACCUACUGUACAGUGUAUUUUAUAGGCCUGUUUGUAUUUAUAAAAGCAUAUUGUUAUUGAAUUUUUUCCCUUCACAUAUUUAAGCAUUUCUGAUGCAAAGAAGCAUCCAGAAUUGUACAGCAUAUGGGUUGAGUAUAUGAAUAAACAUGCACCAGUGAAGUCUGUUCCUGCGAAAAGUAGUCGUUUGUGUUCAGAUCACUUUAGUGCUGAUAUGUAUGAGAUAAAGGGCAAAAGCCAGAAAUUAGUAUUGAGACCAGAUGCUAAUACCAACAAUAGUUACACAAAGGUUUGCGCUCAGGUCAUUGGUGCGAUUUAAUUAAUGUUAUAUGUAACAGUGUGCAUGAUUUACAGGGACGCCGGAACGAUAAUAGGGCAAAGGGGGGCGGACGCACACCAAGGGCACCUUUACUGAAAAUUUUUAUUUCACUGCAAAAUUUUUUGGCGACCUCCCCCCCCGUCGCCAAAAAAAUUUCGGUCAGUGUACCAUUUUAGGGGUCAAAAAUUUUUUCCAGACAUACAAAAAUUUUCCGUGAAGCCAAAAAUUUUUCCGGAUAUCUUAAAUUUUCGCCAUUUCUUCAAACUAUUUUUCAUGACCCCUUAUUUUUCUAACAAACUAUUUUAUCCCCCCCCC